CUUCCCUUGGGAAAAACAUCCCCUUCUCCUAGCCGUUGGUUCGACGACUGGAAGACCUAGCCCCAGCACGGCAUGCCGCACGGCGAUGGCCACACGACCUGACGACCCUCUCCUCUUCCCCGACCUGUCCACGCCAGACAUGAGAAGGCUUCGCGCCGCGCUGAUCUGUUUCCGCCCCAGAUUCGUUCUGGUUCGCGAGCUACGGUAGCCUUGCAACUGGAGGUCAUCGGAGAGGGCCCAGAUCUGAAAGUCAUUGUAAUAGAUUGGAGAAAAACAUAUCAUUGAAUGUAAUUGUAUACACAUCCUUCCAAUCAGCGCCUGUAGAAAAUACGGAAAUGUGAUGCUGCAAAGGUCAUGUUGUCUUGCCAGUUCCAUGAAUGAAAUACCAAGACUGACUUCCAGGAAGUACAAGCUGCCAAUUGAAGUUUUAUCGCACGUCAAGAGACAUUUCCAAACAUAUGUGCAUUGAUGUGAAGGAAAAUGCAGCUGAUAUAAAUGUUGUUUCUCUUGGGGGUGUAAAUAUAUGUAAUGAGUCAUGAACAAAAGGUGGGCUGCAUUCUGGCUCAGGGAAAAUAUCGGCUAUUGCUGAAAAUAGAAGUGCUCCAGCAAAAAACUGCAAAGCAAGGAUGAAAAGGGAUAUAUAUGAAUGCCCCAUGGACCUUGUACAAUUUCGUGCUUAAGAUGUACUGUGAGAAAAGAAUCUUGAUUGGAGCAAGUAAAUGGAAAACCCACACUACCAGUUACAGCUUUUGAAGG